UACGUAGGGUGCAAGCGUUAAUCGGAAUUACUGGGCGUAAAGCGUGCGCAGGCGGCUUUGCAAGACAGAUGUGAAAUCCCCGGGCUCAACCUGGGCACUGCAGUUGGAACUGGCAAGCUAGAGUAGGGUAGAGGGGUGUGGAAUUCCAGGUGUAGCGGUGAAAUGCGUAGAUAUCUGGAGGAACACCGGUGGCGAAGGCGGCAUCCUGGACCAACACUGACACUGAGGAGCGAAAGCCAGGGGAGCAAACGGG
rnacentral:rRNA from 1 species